AAACAAUCCAUAGUUAUAUUCAUUUAAACAAAAAAGCAGAUGAAAUUGACCUAAAAGUCUUCUAUCAUUUUCAAAGUUAUUCGUAAGAGUAGUUAAAACAUAUGAGCAUAUCAAGUGCUAGUGAGUCUGAUAGCGACAUUGAGGAUAUUAUUUUCUGCGUUGCAGCAGUUGAACAUAUCAAACAAGUCAAACGAGAACAUAGGUUAUUACGUCGAACACAACAACAUACAUCUAGGCCUGGAUUGUGUUGGUGCAAUUGAUAAAACAUAUAUAGAAGGGGACGUUCCUAAAGGAGUGCAACAAGCAUAUGAUAAUCGCAAAAGGAAGAACAUCACAAAAUGUCUUUUGUGCUUGUGAUUUUCAUAUGUGAUUUACCUUUGUUGCUACUGGUUGGGAAGGUACAACACAUGAUAGUAAAUUACUUGAGAAUGCACUUGUUGAAACAACGUCACAAUUUCCAUUUUUGCCACAUGGUAACUUUGAAUUACAUCCUUAGAAUAAAUAUUAUUUAUUUACACAAAGCUCUAUCAUUUACAUCACACACACUUUUGGUAAUUCUUUAUAAAUUGUUUGUUGGUAGACAAAAAUUAUGUUGUUGAUGCUGAUUUUCGAAAUAUCGAAGGACUUUUAGCUCCAUAGAAUGGACUGCACUAUCAUUUAUAAGAUUACCGAGGAAGUGAAAGAGAGACUCAAAAUGUCGAAGAACUAUUUAAUUAUAGGUAUUCAUCUCUGUGCAAUGUGAUUGAACGGACUUUUGAAGCUUGGAAAAAUAGAUUUAGAAUAAUGAAACAAGGCAUGAACCAUUAUGAUAUUGAUAUACAAGUGAAAAUUGUCAUAGCGUGUGCAGUGUUACGUAAUUAUUUGCGAGAAUAUCAAAGUAUUGAUGAAAUAUUUAUGGUCUAUGAGCAUGAAAAUAGAGAUACAGAUGAUAUUGACCAACAAAUGACUCAAAGUAACAAUGUUGGUUCGUCUUCUUGGUCACAUGAUUGAGAAAUGCAAGUUCAACGUGAGGAAAUUGUCCGUACUAUGAAGAGUAUUAUAUUAAAGGAUAGUAUACUACAAUUUAUG